GUGAAUCAUCAAAUUUUUGAACGCAAAUUGCACUCCCUGGUAUUCCGGGGAGUAUGCCUGUUUGAGGGUCAGCCCAUAAAAAAUCGACAUCGUUGCUGUUUCGCGGUGGCGUUCGUCGGAAAUUGGGUCAUCUUAAAUCCUUUUGAUUUAAGCGACUUAAAAUUGUCUUUUGGUUCCAUGAACGUUUCUAAGAUCUAUUUCUUUACACGUUUAAGGUAUCGAUUUUUAUUAGACGUUGCCGGCAUAUCGUAUCUCGUCCAUAAUUUUUCGCUAACUGACCUCAGACAGGUAAGAGUACCC
rnacentral:misc_RNA from 1 species